UCUUCUGACCCACUCACAGUUUUUAGGCUCUGGAGGAAAUGCUGUCAUGACUGUCAUUUUUUUGUCAAAAUCCAUCUAGGUGGCAUAAUUGGCAGAAGUGUCUGUCACUCCAGCUGUGUCCCUAUGUACAUAGAUUGAAAAUGAUCACCUCCAGCGAAAUAUUGGCACAAAUUUCAGCAUCUCUCCUGCCACUCUGUGGAAGAACGCAGUCUAAAAGUGAAACCUGUAGAUGCCUAUUAUAUGAAGCUUAGCAUCAAAGGAAAGGUCACGGAGACAACUGACAUUUUAUUUUUUUCAUAUUUCUAGGGUCACAUCUUCUGACGUCAGGAUAAUUGUUUGAAAACUGAGAAAUCCAAUGUGGUUUCCUACGUGGUGCCAAGUAUCUCAUAUUGGCUUUUUUUUUUUUCUGGAUUGGUAAAUAUUUUGGUGAAAUGUAGACACAACUGAUCUGAUAGUAACAUUUGCUCCAUGGAAGUAUGAAAUUUGAUUUAUUUUCAUAACUUUCACGUUAAGACAAGCACUGGAAUAUGAAUCAGAAGACUACAUUCCUGCCACUUAAAAUUGUGCGACCUUGGGAUAGGAGUGUUCUUAAAUCUCUGCUUAGUCUUCUCCACAGCUGUAAGGAUGUGACAGUGAGUAAAUAACAAGAAAGCUCUUUGAAGAGUAAAAAAGGGCUAUAAAAAUGAAAGCAUUAUUAAAUACCCUCAGCUUGACUGAAAAUUAAAAAUAACAUGUGUUAUUUCUUUUGUAUUGUAAUAAUAAUAUCCUAAGUUAGACUUUAAGCUCUAUAAAAAAGGUCAAUACUGAACUGGCUCACCAUUGCUAUCUCCAAACCCAGCACAGUGUCUGACAUAUAUAGGCUGUAUCAGUCAGGGGUCAACCAGAGAAGUAGUACUACUAUGAGUAAUGUAAAAUAAAGUAGCUAGAUCUUUCCUCUGCGUCUGAGGUGGGGCCUGAGAUUGCAAUAUGCAAGCUGGAACACUAGUUGGGAAGAACAGCUGGAUGCAAAGUGGGAGAGAGCAAGGAUAGACUGGAACCAAUAUCUGUCUCUCACUACCUCCAACCUCGACAACACAGGUAACCUGCAAGAGAAGCUAAUCCCCAUUGACAUAGAGCUAGGAAACAGAGUGGCCAGAGCAGACAAUGCAGCAAGAACUGGAGAAGCUGCAGACCCAGGUGCUAUCCACCUGGCCACCCAGGUAGGCCAAGCAGAUCAGUGACAGCAUGCACAGGCUGCCAUCAUGACUGGCACCAUGCACCAAAUUUCAGAGCAUACAAAAAUGGCUGUGCUUCUUUUCUGUUUCCCAAAUCUUAUGAGAAUUUUUCUUGUGGACAACCCUUACCCUGAAACAUACAGGAAAGUGAAUUCUGGAAAACAUACUUCCAGUUUAGUGAAGCUGGCAUAAUACAAAGCCACACAUAGGCACUUAAUAUGUUCUUCUUAAGUAAACAUAUUUCAACAUACAAAUAUAAAUAUUUUAAAGUAAAAAUGAAUAUGUAUGAGAUUUAUAUGGAUAUGUGGAAGAUGACACAAUGUAUACUCAUCACCAAGACUGGAGGCUGUCCACCUGAGGCAGGGCACCUGCUGCUUUGUUGUCCUGUUGGCAUCUUCUGAAGUAUGACCAGAGUGAAGAAUCAUUAUCAAAGGUGGUCAUCCGUUGACAAAAUAGAGACAUAAGAACAUUUGCAGGAUGGCCUAGAGUUCCUUACAGCAUCGAGGCCGAGAUCCAAGACAGCAAAAGCAGACACUGCCAAGCCUCUUAAUGGCAAGGCCCUGAAGCAGCAGAGCUUCACUUCUGCCACCUCCUAUUGGUUAAAGCCUGUCACAAAGCCUGUCAAGAUUCUGAAAAAGAGAGAUAGAACCCACCUCCUGUUAGAAAAAAGCUGCACACGCAUAAAGAAAGGAGAGGAUUUGACAGCUAUCUCUGAAGAGUAUCUGCCCCAUUAAGCCAUGGGAUAUUUUCCCCAUGAAAGAAAGGACUAUGAUCUGGAUUGUAGAAAUUGAUCUAUAGACAUGAAUCUGAACUUAAGAGAAUUUGACAAAUUCCAUCUGUUCAAACUGUCAUCACUUACACAUAUUUCUGAAAGCAGAAGGCAGAGCAAGCAGGCUGAAGACUGACAGAGAAGCAUUUGCAUGUCCUCCAUGAGCCCUGAUUUUCAUGGGAACAGCUGUCUCAGUGACUGCAUACAAGGGCCC